UACGUAGGGUGCGAGCGUUAAUCGGAAUUACUGGGCGUAAAGCGUGCGCAGGCGGUUCGUUGUGUCGGUGGUGAAAGCCCCGGGCUUAACCUGGGAAUGGCCAUGGAAACUGGCGAACUGGAGUGUGGCAGAGGGGGGUGGAAUUCCGCGUGUAGCAGUGAAAUGCGUAGAUAUCGGAAGGAACAUCAGUGGCGAAGGCGGCUACCUGGACUGAUACUGACGCUGAGGCGCGAGAGCGUGGGGAGCAAACAGG
rnacentral:rRNA from 1 species